rnacentral:sRNA from 1 species
GGCUAUAUGAUAGCUACGCUCCCCCUCUCUCACAGCUCCAUUUGUGUCCCUCCCAAAGCUGCCCACUAGGUGGAAGAGAAUGACCAUCCCAGAUAGGAGUCUUCUGUCAAGGGUAUACGAUAGCUGCACUCCCUUGCUAGAACCUCAAAACAAACUCAAGGUCCAUUUGUAGAAGAUUAGAUACACUGACCUAUUUAGUUGAAUUGAUUCAGGGUUCCACAUCGGAUUUUGGAACGU